GAAAUUCUCUUCUCCUUGCCACCAUAGAGAGAAGCGUUGCUCCUUUAGGCAAAUUAUGGAAGCAAGUUGACCCAAAUGGAACCCUAUUCGCCAUCUCUCCAUCUCGUCAAAAUCUGCAAUCUUCAGUGCUCAACUUGUUUUCAUCUUCUAUAACUCUCUGCAUUGCGUUCGAAAAAUCACAAUCAGAUUUUUCUUCCAAGUCUAUCCAAUAGAGCUGUUUUGGACACCUUUGGAGGAUUUGGGAAAUGGGGUUUUCAAUGUUGGCUUCACUGGGUUCUCAUGUAUUAGCUAGAAAUUCUUGUGAAGGGAUUGUAAAGUUUCAAUAUUUGCCUGCAAUGGAGAGACAUAACGUUAGCUUCAAAAUUUCGAAGUUCAGGUGUCACUCGGGAAGAAUUGUUUCAAGCAAGCAUGAUCCAAUUGAUCUUGAAGAAAGAGCAAGCCCAAGUGAGGUUAGAAAAGAAAUGGAACAGUGUUAUGAACUCAUACACAGACUUGGGAGAGGAGUCAUUUAUUUGGGUUCAUCAAGGAUGGGACCAACUCAUUCCCAUUACUUGCAAGCACUAGAGUUGGGCAGAGAGAUUGCAAACCUUUUGGACUGUACUUCAUGGUCAGGGGCUGGUCCUGGACUAAUGGAUGCCGCUACUAAAGGUGCUUUACAAGCAGGAAAACCAGUUGGUGGGUUUAAGAUUGGUAGAGAAGCUGGAGAAUGGACAGCAUCAAAUUUUCAUCCAUAUCUACCUUUGGAAGUAUAUUUUACAUGCAGGUUUUUCUCUGCUAGGAAGCACGGAUUGGUAGAUGCUGUGGUGAGAAACUGUAGUUCUGAUAGGACUGCUGUUGUUGCGCUUCCUGGUGGGAUUGGAACUCUGGACGAGUUGUUUGAGAUAUUAGCAUUAAUUCAACUGGAGAGAAUUGGGUCACAGCUUCAAGUUCCAGUCUUGUUGAUGAACUAUGAUUCAUUCUAUUCAAAGCUGCUAGACUUUCUUGAUGAUUGUGAGAACUGGGGUACAGUCUCCAAAGGAGAAGUUGCAUCUCUAUGGAAGGUUUGUGAUAGUAACUUAGAGGCUUUAGCUUAUUUGGCAGAAUUUUACGGUCUGCCUCUUAGUGAAAAAAGCAGGCAAGAAACUGAGUCGCGAAGCGCACAUUAAACUGACUUUUGGAUGAAUAAUUUGACUUUGUGAGCUGGUUGCCGAGAAAUUCUUCUCCUACCUGAUGUAAAUUAAUGAAAAGACAAUGCCCUUAAACUCUUCAAGGACCAAGGUGUAGUAGUAUUAUGUAGCCGAUUCAUAUUUCAUCUCUUUGUGGACGAUUAUUUCAGCAAUUGAUUUGUAUGUGGAAUAAUGAUGCUGAAAAGGUAUCUGAAACAAAAGCGAGCUUUGGAAUAAUAAUGUAUUCAUAGCAAAUCA